GUCAACAACCCACUAAGCCCUUGGGGACUUAGCGGCUUUUCAUCUUAGGAUUUUAAGCCCAGUUGACCAAGCUAGGUGUUCACUCAUAGGCACUCUGCGAUGCUUCGCCAGUCGCGGACUCUGCGGCAAGUCAUUAAAUAGCUCUAAGGGUUUAAAGGCAGUGUGGCUUGCACACAAACCGUUCUAUAACAUUGCUGAGGUGAAACGAAG
rfam:Candidatus Thiomargarita nelsonii contig_1636, whole genome shotgun sequence.